GAGGGACAAAUCUGUUUCUCUGGUCUCCAUCCAGGUGACUGUGGCGCUUUGAGACCGUGUGAGCGGGAUGAUCUGUGCUUGGGCUAAACUGUCCUUGGGAACUACGCCACGCUCCCCAUCAGCCAGCCCUGACAGAGCUGGCAGUGCUCCGCACGGGCAGCAUUUUGGAGAGUCGCCGUCGAGAGGAAAGCAGGAAACGGAGAGAAGGGAUGAAAAAACAAGAAAGAAAGCAUAAAAUGAGAUCAAGUCUUUGUGUUUGUUGGAGCGGUCAGGAUGUACAGUAGCUGCUAAAUAAGAGAUGGAUAACAAAGAUUAGAACAAUUUCCUUGUCACCCGUGUCGAUAGAAAAGGAUUAUGGCUGAAACAGAACAGGAAUGGAGGGAGUUUGAAAGAGAAGAGAGAAUGGAGGGGCCGCCAGAAAGGUCAUGUCCGAGCAACCAACCCACCUCGGGCAUUACUCAUUAACCUAGCAACAAGCUAAGUCCGGUAACAGUGAUGACCUGAGGGGGGAUCAAACCAGAGAGCAGCUUCACCACAUUUCUGAAAUUUUACCAUGAUCUUCUACUAAAUUCAAGCUGAGAGCCUCAAGUUAGCCAUGAAUAAUGACAACCUUGAGCUGUCCUGAGUUUAAAAUGAGUCAGCAUGAUCCGGGUCACUGAAGUGGAAACGUUUCAAAAACAAGACAAAUAUCUGAACCUCCAAAUGCCACAUAAAUUGCUUACCUCAAAGAUGAAACACUAAACUCAAAAAGACUGAAUGAGAGGCAGCUCUUUAAAGGGGAAAUGUCAAUUUCAUGCAAUCAAGAAAGAUCAUAAGAUGACUAGAUUAAGUUGUAUAAUAACCCCUUUUUGGUACCAAUUAAAUUCCUUUUAAUUUCAAUCUGCCUUUUGGCUUUUUAGAACAGCAUGAACAUGUACUGCUCUCAAUGGGCUCCAUUCAUUGAUAAAUGCAUUGAAGUGUUCUUUUGUGCACAGAGAAGGUUCUCAGAAAAAAACAGGUGCAUACCAAGGAAGUCUAUAAUACCUGGAGUCAUCUGUUAGCAUAACCAUUCAUCUCAAAGUCCCAAGACCUUCACUAGCAACUUUCCUGAGCUGUGACAUAAAAGGUAGGGGAAAGACAUGGGGAAAAUGUCUAUUUCAUGCAUUUAAAACCCCUCCAAAAACAGAUGGGUCAUUGUUGAACCAUUUACCACCGUAUACUAUUAUGAAACAACUGUGAUUUAUAUGUUGCUUGCAUAAAAGAUAUUGCUACAUUUUAUGGCUAUUACCCUUUGAUCCAUGUUCCAACAUCUAACAUCUACCUAUUUUUAUUUUUUGUUAAAUAGAAGUCUAAAGAAUAGAAAAAGCAUAGAGAACAUUAGUGUUAGUGGGUCAUUUUUUAUAAUAAAUAAAAGAAAAUAACAAAUCCCAAUUUAACCCCAGGGGACAGUUAUGCAUAUAACAAAAAAAAAUCAGCUUUGCCAUCACAGGAAUAAAAUACAUCUUAAAAUACAUUAAUUUAAACUGUAAUAAUAUUUCACAAUUCUGAUAAAUAGCCUAAAUGCAGCCUUGAUUAGCAUUAUAUGAGAUUAUAUCUUCUUCUUUUUUUUUUUUAUUCACGCAUCACACAUUUAUCUUUCUCAUUCCCUCACUACAGUGAAUGAUGCUUUAGGUAGCCUAAUGUGUUAUAAUUUAUCAUGACCCUCACUGUUCUUACAAAUCUGGCUCCAUCUUGCAUUUAUGCUUCAUUAAACCUCAUGCAGCACUACAGGCACAUUUGAAUCCAAAGAGAAGUUAGACCCAACCUGUGAAAACAUGUCAGAUCGGUUUUGUAGGUCUUUUCUAUUGCUAAUGAAACUGAGAGAUGUAUAGAUCGCUGCUGAUAUGCAAUAUGUAAUAAUCAUGGGCUUCAUUCAUGAAACACAAGCAUGGAUAUCUGUGAAAAUGUAUCUGUACUUCCUCUGUCUUAUUGAACUGAACACAACAAUUUGCAGCAAAUGGAUUUAUGAACGAUUCACACAUAAAUUCGCUCUGCUCGUGUUUCAUGAAUAAAGCCCCAUGUGCAUGCCCCAGGGAGUUGAAGGAAUAUCGGAUCAACCUAAAACUAGGUUUUAUCAGCAUUUAACACCACCUGCUCCCAUGACUGUAGGUGUCAAUCUUUUGUUUCAUCAUCACCGAAAGCUACAAGAUGUUAGGAAGAGCAACUGGGGCAUUUGAUGUUAUAAUGGUGAUCAUAUUUCACAUCCCAUACAAGUACAACAACAAGGCUUCUUCUUUAAUGGCCUACUGCACUUAAAAAUGUAAUCGUACAAAGUUGAAUGAGGCAUAAAUACCUAAAGAUGGUCAAAAUAUGCCACAGGGUCCUAUAUGUGCAAGGAUUUGACAGGUCUUUUUUAAGAAUUACAUUAAUAUACAAAAUUAUUAAAAUGAGCAGGAAUAUUAAAUUAAAUGUACUGGACACAUGUGGCAAUUUAAUCAUUACACAUAUGAAAUAUUGGUUUAAAAUUUUGUUAAAUCAUGCAAAAAUUGUCAUGUAAUGCAAAUAUUCAUGCAAUGUUUAAUGCUAAUUUGAUUUAGUUUUUAUGGGCUAAAUCAUGGCUGCAACAAAAUGAACCGAGACAGAAGUAAAUAUUCUUAACAAGAAAAAACAUUACAAAACAACAGAAAUACAAAAAGUCAAGAGAAAUGCAAAUAUAUCAUUAACUUAGAGUGUUUCAGAGUUCACAUAGUAGCAUAAUGGUGUAAAAUUCGGAUAGGAAUUGUUGUCAAAUGUUACCUGUACACUGAAAAGAAAAUGAUUCACUGAAUUUUACUAAAAGAAAAUUUAAGGUAAGUGGUUGCAAUCAAUUUAUUUUAGCUACAUUUAAAAAUAUAUAUAUAUUAUAUAUAUUUAGUUGACUAACUUUCAAUGUUUGUUUUUUUUUUUAAUGUAGCUAAAAACAAAAAUUUAGUAUCAUUUUUUUUUCAGUGUAACUUUUGGAGCUUGGAUAGUAAUGUUUGUACAUAUUGUGAAGAUAUAGAAUCUUUUUCUACAACUGUAUUGUUGUUAAAGGUUUUUCUGACAAAAAAAAAGGAAUACAAGCUUUUGAUUGUCACAUUGUUAUGUUUUGUGUUUUUGGGCAGAACAAAGAGAUUGAAUUUUGGUUUAAUAAAAAAAUUAAUUAAAGGUCAGUUUUAUUUACACAUGUAAAUUUACAGAAAUGUAGUCCUUAAACACCUCAAUAUAGUUUCAAAGGCAAACGAAUGAAAGUUGGCCUCUGAAUGGAUUUAAAAAUGGGGCUGGACCUAACAUGAAGAGGGAUCUUAGGGAGGACAGCUGAAACGGUCAAAAGCACAAUCUCUCGGUUAUUCCUACAACUAAAUGGUGGGCAGUGCAAGGAAGCCAGCACAGAGGAGAGAUGACGUCUUCAGCUGUCCUCAAGAUGUCUUCAGCCAGGGGAAUUAGCUCAAAUGGUAGAGCGCUCGCUGCGCAAAGGAAGGGGCCCAAUCUUUGCGCCCGCACGCAAGCGAAAAAGACGCAGAACACGGGAAAACGCCGAAAAAUUUCCCCUGCAGCAAUACUCGGGGUAUAUUCCUCUGCGUUUUGAAGAGUUGUAAUUACAUGUGAAACAAGUCACCCUCCGCGGCCUGGACUCGAACCCGUGGUUUUUCAGAUGAGCCGUGACGUCAUCUCUUCAGAUGAGCCGUGACGUCAUCUCUCCACUACAUGUAUUGUUAAGCGUGCAAUAAACCGAGCCUUUUUACAGUUAUCUAUGACAUACCAUUAUAUUGAUUGAUCGUAUAUUACAUUGAUUUUUUUAUUUUGUAUGUAUAUUAUUUUUGUGUUUAAAUAAAAUGAAUAAAAACGUUUCUUCAAAUAUGU
ensembl:lncRNA